GACGAACCGUGCGAACGUUGUUCGGAAUCACUGGGCUUAAAGGGCGCGUAGGCGGGUUACCAAGUCAGGGGUGAAAUCUUUCGGCUCAACCGGAAAACAGCCUUUGAUACUGGUAGUCUGGAGGGAGGUAGGGGCAUGUGGAACUUCCGGUGGAGCGGUGAAAUGUGUUGAUAUCGGAAGGAACGCCGGUGGCGAAAGCGACGUGCUGGACCUCUUCUGACGCUGAGGCGCGAAAGCUAGGGUAGCGAACGGG
rnacentral:rRNA from 1 species